GCCGGGUGUGGUGGCGGGCGCCUGUAAUCCCAGCUACUUGGGAGGCUGAGGCAGGAGAAUUGCUUGAACCCAGGAGGUGGAGGUUGCAGUAAGCUGAGAUUGCACUACUGCACUCCAGCCUGGGUGACAGAGCAAGACUCCGUCUUGG
rnacentral:sRNA from 1 species